GGCGGAUGUACCCAAGCGGAUUAGGGCAGU
rnacentral:tRNA from 1 species